UACGGGGGGGGCAAGCGUUGUUCGGAAUUACUGGGCGUAAAGGGCUCGUAGGUGGCCAACUAAGUCGGACGUGAAAUCCCUCGGCUUAACCGGGGAACUGCGUCCGAUACUGGUUGGCUUGAGUUUGGGAGAGGGAUGCGGAAUUCCAGGUGUAGCGGUGAAAUGCGUAGAUAUCAAGAGGAACACCUGAGGUGAAGACGGGUUGCUGGGCUGACACUGACGCUGAGGCGCGAAAGCCAGGGGAGCAAACGGG
rnacentral:rRNA from 1 species